rnacentral:rRNA from 1 species
GAUGAACGCUGGCGGCGUGCCUAAUACAUGCAAGUCGAGCGAACAGACGAGGAGCUUGCUCCUCUGACGUUAGCGGCGGACGGGUGAGUAACACGUGGAUAACCUACCUAUAAGACUGGGAUACCUUCGGGAAACCGGAGCUAAUACCGGAUAAUAUAUUGAACCGCAUGGUUCAAUAGUGAAAGACGGUUUUGCUGUCACUUAUAGAUGGAUCCGCGCCGCAUUAGCUAGUUGGUAAGGUAACGGCUUACCAAGGCAACGAUGCGUAGCCGACCCGAGAGGGUGAUCGGCCACACGAGAACUGGGACACGGUCCAGACUCCUACGGGAGGCAGCAGUAGGGAAUCUUCCGCAAUGGGCGAAAGCUUGACGGAGCAACGCCGCGUGAGUGAUGAAGGUCUUCGGAUCGUAAAACUCUGUUAUUAGGGAAGAACAAAUGUGUAAGUAACUAUGCACGUCUUGACGGUACCUAAUCAGAAAGCCACGGCUAACUACGUG